UACAGAGGUGGCAAGCGUUGUUCGGAAUUACUGGGCGUAAAGGGCGCGUAGGCGGUUCGUUAAGUCCUGUGUGAAAUCCCCCGGCUCAACUGGGGAACUGCACAGGAAACUAGCGGGCUUGAGUUCGGGAGAGGGAAGCGGAAUUCCGGGUGUAGCGGUGAAAUGCGUAGAUAUCCGGAGGAACACCGGUGGCGAAGGCGGCUUCCUGGACCGACACUGACGCUGAGGCG
rnacentral:rRNA from 1 species